AGAUUACAGCUGCGCAGAAAUCAGUAAGACGGUCUUGCUAAGACCGAUGACUCAAAUUUUUCUCCAUUUCUCGACUCUCUACUGUAAAACUCCAUUGCUAAGGUGUGUAUUUUCUUGAGUUUCUUAAUCAAGCUAGAAAGAAAAUUCGUUCUCAUCAUCAAAUUGCAACUCUCUGCUGAAAAAAUCCAUUGUUAAGAGAUAUAUAUGGAGGCUAAUGAGCUUCUUGUGAGAUCAGUUCGUCUAUCUCGAGAAAACAAUAAAAAAGAAACACUUCAAUUGUUUGGAAUACUUUCUCGAAAUUGCCUCGUACUAGUGACAGUGAAAGGUUAAAAGCACAAUGUCAGGUAUGUAAGGAAGUAUUUGUAGCCGAUGUUGGCACUACAGCUAUGAAACGUCAUUUAGAUAGGCACUUGGAUAACACACAAGAACACGGAUAUGCAUAAAUUGAUCAAAUAAUUUACCGUGAAAACCUGUAUGUUGCUAUUCUAAAGCAUAAUUAUCCUUUUAGCUUUGUUGAACAUCAAGGAAAUAGAGAUAUACAUUCAUACUUAAAUGCAUCUGUGAAAACUAUCUCAAGAAAUACGGCUAAGGCUGAUAUAUUGAAGUUAUAUGAUCGGGAGGAAGAAUUUUUAAAGUGUGAGCUUGCAAUGAUUUCUAGUAGAAUCUGUUUGACUUCAGACAUGUGGACUUCUGCAGCGUCAAAUGGUUGUAUGUGUUUAACUUUAUGUUGAUUUGAAUUGGAAUCUUCAAAAAAGAAUCUUAAUAUUUCUUCAUGUUUCGCCUCCACAUUCUGGUGCAGUUUUGGGUCCUUUGCUUAUAAAUUUAAUAAAGGAAUGGGGCAUUAAAAUGAAGAUUUUCACUCUUACCUUGGACAAUGCUAGUUGCAAUAAUGGUGUAAUAGAUCAUUUACAAGAUCAUUUAUCUCUGAUGCGUUCUCUAGUUUGUGAUGGAAAGUUCUUCCAUAUUCGUUGUGGUAAUCGUAUCUUGAACUUAAUAGUGAAGGCUGGUUUGGAAAAAGCAGAUGACGCCAUUGAAAAAGUAAGAGAAGGUGUUAAGCACAUUAAAAAUUCAGAAGGAAGAAUAUUAAAGUUUGUGGAAUGCAUUAUGAAUCAUGGGUUGCCAUGUUCGAAGAAGCUUUGUGAAGAUGUAAGUAGUCGGUGGAAUUCCACUUACCAAAUGCUUGAUAGCGCUCUUCUCUACCAACAAGCUUAUAUUCAAUAUAAAUUUCUUGAUAUUGAUUUUAAAUAGUCUUUCCGAUGAGGAAUGGAAAAGGGUAGAGAGUAUUGCUAAAUUCUUGAAGUCAUUUUUUGAGAUUACUACAUUAUUUUCCGGAAGCAAAUAGCCUACUGCAAAUUUGUAUCUUCCAAAUGUAUGGAAAAUUCAAAUGUUGCUAAGGGAAGCAAAAAAUAGUAGUGAUCGAGUUAAGAAUGAUAUGACUACUUUGAUGCUAAGAAAGUUUUAAGAAAUAUAGGAGGUCGUAUAGUAUGAUUUUGUCAAUUUCCAUUGUCCUUGACCCUCGAUAUAAAUUGAAGUUUGUGAGGUUUUGUUUCUCCAAGAUAGAUCCUAUGACCGCAGAUGCUAAGGUUGAAAAAGUUGUAGAUCAUUUACAAUUGUUAUUUAGAGAAUACUUGGUACCUUCAACAAUUUCUCUCUUAGGGGAGAACGUUUGUCAUACAAGCAACAAUGAAAUGAGGGAUGAUGUUGAAGAGUUUGAUGUGUUUGCGAAUCAAUUAGAUUCUGGUAGAGAUAAAACACAAUUGAUUUGUACCUAAAGGAGCCUAAACUUGAUCGCAAAGGGAAUCCAAAUUUAGAUGUACUUGCAUAUUGGAAGGAAAAUAGAGGAAGGUAUACAGAGCUUUCGUUGAUGGCACGAGAUAUAUUGAGCAUACCAAUUGCCACGGUAGCUUCAGAAUCUACCUUUAGCAUUGGAGGUCGUAUUAUUGGAAAGUUUCAAAGUUCUAUUUUACCUUCAAAUGCUGAAGCAAAAUUGUGUGCUAAAGAUUGGCUCUGUGGACAAGAAGAUUGUGAUGGAUCAGACCGAUGAGGAUGAAAUUGCAGUGGAACUUCAACCGUAUCUUGCUAAACUUGGCUCACAUUGAUCGGUAAAUUUCUGUUCUGUUUGAAUGACUUUCUGUUUCUGCAUUACUUGGCUUGGCACCUUCUCCAUCUCUGGUUUCUGCAUUAGUUGGCUUUGUUCCUUGAUUUGCCAUCUUUAUAACCUCAUUAAUUUGUUUCUUAAGGCUAGCUACUGUGUGAAAAAAAAACAGGAUAAUGAAGAUUUCAAAUUUAGGGAACCUUACAUUAGAGAUUUUAACUCAUAUUUCUGUUAGUACAGAGGAGUCCAACAAGAAAUUUGAUGAUUUCAUUAAGAAAAUCAAUCAAGAGAGGUUGCUGCAGAGGCAAGAAUCUGAUCAGCGUGCCCACAGUAUUAAUAUGCUAAAUCGAGCACGAUAAGUGUUUCCUUGUAGACAUGCAACUGAUGGCAUGGAGUUCUUGCGUUCCUCGCAUGAAGCCUGAUGUAAGGUUCCCUAAAUUUCAAAAGAACCUGUGAGAGAGUUUUAUCUGAAGAUUGUAGAAGUUGUAUAUUUCUAGUGUAUGCAGCAGCUCUUCUGAACUUUACAAUGGCAGCUUUUGCAUUCAACAUCAAGUUACUGGUCUAAUUUUGGAGAACAAUAACUUCACUUCAACCUUACUGUUCAAGAACUCCAAGAGAACAAACAAGGGCAGUUUUUGCACUAAAAUUUAAUACCAAGAGAAUCCCAUAUACUUAGUAAAGUUAAUACAAGGUAACAGACUAACAGUAGAACAACUUCAGUUAAGGACACAAGAGCUAAUGUCCAACUCAGUGGCUGCAAUUCAAGAUUAUUGAACAAAGAAGAAGAAAUCCCAGCAUCCUGAUGCGCUGUUGGCUGCUGCAGAUCGCCCGUCAAAUAUUAUACUAUUUUGUUUAGUCUGUUGUUUAGCCAUGAGACUGCACUUCUUUGUUUAUAUUUGUAUUUUUGUACUUCGAUUAUUGUAUUUUGAUGUUAAUACUUGAUUUCCACGGAAUGAAUACUGAUUUUUAUCCUUUUAGUAUCA